GAUGAACGCUGGCGGCGUGCCUAAUACAUGCAAGUCGAGCGAACAGACGAGGAGCUUGCUCCUCUGACGUUAGCGGCGGACGGGUGAGUAACACGUGGAUAACCUACCUAUAAGACUGGGAUAACUUCGGGAAACCGGAGCUAAUACCGGAUAAUAUAUUGAACCGCAUGGUUCAAUAGUGAAAGACGGUUUUGCUGUCACUUAUAGAUGGAUCCGCGCCGCAUUAGCUAGUUGGUAAGGUAACGGCUUACCAAGGCAACGAUGCGUAGCCGACCUGAGAGGGUGAUCGGCCACACUGGAACUGAGACACGGUCCAGACUCCUACGGGAGGCAGCAGUGGGGAAUCUUCCGCAAUGGGCGAAAGCCUGACGGAGCAACGCCGCGUGAAUGAUGAAGGUCUUCGGAUCGUAAAACUCUGUUAUUAGGGAAGAACAAAUGUGUAAGUAACUAUGCACGUCUUGACGGUACCUAAUCAGAAAGCCACGGCUAACUACGUG
rnacentral:rRNA from 1 species